GAACGAACGACAAACUCAAGGUAUGAAUGCAGAUGAACCGCAUGAAUACUCUUUGCUGGGUUUGGCCUCACAUCAAUGUUGACUUUGCUUAACGAUUUUACAUUGUUCAAAGAAUAGGACACAAAAAAAAUUCCCAUGAAGAUCAAGCUCUUCAAAAUUUGGAGCAUUGAUAAAAAUUUUGGAACUACUUCCACGCACGAGGAAAUAAAAGAGGACAUAGUGUAUUACCAACGUUAUUUGUAGUCUCUUGAGUUUGGGUGCGGACACAUUAAAACACAAGACUUCCCCAUGUUCAAUAUCUAUAACCAAAUCUUCGAGAACAGGACAACACGAAAAGAGACUACCCAUUAAGUGAGACUUUGG
rnacentral:lncRNA from 1 species